rnacentral:rRNA from 1 species
CUCGAACUCACACCCUGAACAUGCCCGAUCUCGGAAACUAAGCAGGGUCGGGCCUGGUUGGUACUUUUUUAAAGACAGUGUCUCGUGUAUCCCAUGUUGUCUUUGAAC